rnacentral:ncRNA from 2 species
UUCCGAUAAUAGCAAACCCGGUGAAAGCCGGGGACGCAAAGCCACAGGUCUAAAGUGAGGAAUCACAAUGACGGCUGGGUUGCCGAA